rnacentral:rRNA from 1 species
GCAUGGGAUGAGCUGUGGAUAGCGGAGAAAUUCCAAUCGAACCCGGAGAUAGCUGGUUCUCUCCGAAAUAGCUUUAGGGCUAGCGUCGAGUAUGAGUAGUGGAGGUAGAGCACUGAAUGGGCUAGGGGGCAUAGCGCUUACCGAACCUUAUCAAACUCCGAAUGCCACAUACUUUGAGCUCGGCAGUCAGACUACGAAUGAUAAGAUCCGUGGUCAAAAGGGAAACAGCCCAGAUCGUCAGCUAAGGUCCCAAAGUGUAAGUUAAGUGGGAAAGGAUGUGAGAUUUCUAAGACAACUAGGAUGUUGGCUUAGAAGCAGCCAUUCAUUAAAAGAGUGCGUAAUAGCUCACUAGUCGAGAGAUCUUGCGCCGAAAAUGUAACGGGGCUAAACUUACCACCGAAGCUACGGGCUUGAACUUAGUUCAAGCGUAGGAGAGCGUCGUAACCGGGCUGAAGUCGUACCGUAAGGAGCGGUGGACUGGUUACGAGUGAGAAUGUUGGCAUCAGUAGCGAGAUGUGGGUGAGAAUCCCACAGGCCGAAAAACCUAAGGUUUCCUCAGGAAGGUUCGUCCGCUGAGGGUUAGUCGGGACCUAAGCCGAGGCCGAAAGGCGUAGGUGAUGGACAACUGGUUGAUAUUCCAGUACCACUACCAUCGUUAUUAUCGAUGGCGUGACGCAGGAGGAUAGUGUGUGCUAGCUAUUGGAUGCUAGUCUAAGCGUUUAGGCAGUGAGAGUAGGCAAAUCCGCUCUCAUAAUGCUGAGGCGUGAUGGGGAAGGUUCCACGGAACCGAAGUACAUGAUUCCACGCUGCCAAGAAAAGCGUCUAGAGAGAGAAGUAGUGCCCGUACCGCAAACCGACACAGGUAGGUGAGGAGAGAAUCCUAAGGCCGGCGGAAGAAUUACAGUUAAGGAACUCGGCAAAUUGACCCCGUAAGUUCGCGAGAAGGGGUGCCUACGAGAGUAGGCCGCAGAGAAUAGGCCCAAGCAACUGUUUAGCAAAAACACAGGUCUCUGCUAAAGCGUAAGCUGAUGUAUAGGGGCUGACGCCUGCCCGGUGCUGGAAGGUUAAGGGGAACACUUAGCGCAAGCGAAGGUGUGAACUUAAGCCCCAGUAAACGGCGGCCGUAACUAUAACGGUCCUAAGGUAGCGAAAUUCCUUGUCAGGUAAGUUCUGACCCGCACGAAUGGCGUAAUGACUUGGGCACUGUCUCAACUGUAAAUCCGGCGAAGUUGUAGUGCGAGUGAAGAUGCUCGCUACCCGCGAUUGGACGGAAAGACCCCGUAGAGCUUUACUGUAGCUUAGCAUUGAGUUUUGGUAUUGUCUGUACAGGAUAGGUGGGAGACUAGGAAACCAGGGCGUCAGCCUUGGUGGAGUCAACCUUGGGAUACCACCCUGACAGUACUGAAAUUCUAACUGGCGGCCAUGAAUCUGGUCACAGGACAUUGUUAGGUGGGCAGUUUGACUGGGGCGGUCGCCUCCUAAAAAGUAACGGAGGCGCCCAAAGGUUCCCUCAGAACGGUCGGAAAUCGUUCGAAGAGUGCAAAGGCAGAAGGGAGCCUGACUGCGACACCCACAAGUGGAGCAGGGGACGAAAGUCGGGCUUAGUGAUCCGGUGGUACCUCGUGGGAGGGCCAUCGCUCAACGGAUAAAAGCUACCUCGGGGAUAACAGGCUGAUCUCCCCCAAGAGUCCACAUCGACGGGGAGGUUUGGCACCUCGAUGUCGGCUCGUCGCAUCCUGGGGCUGAAGUAGGUCCCAAGGGUUGGGCUGUUCGCCCAUUAAAGCGGCACGCGAGCUGGGUUCAGAACGUCGUGAGACAGUUCGGUCCCUAUCCGUCGCGGGCGUAGGAAAUUUGAGAGGAGCUGUCCUUAGUACGAGAGGACCGGGAUGGACUGACCUCUGGUGUACCAGUUGUUCCGCCAGGAGCACAGCUGGGUAGCUAAGUCGGGAAUGGAUAAACGCUGAAAGCAUCUAAGCGUGAAGCCAACCUCAAGAUGAGAUUUCCCAUAGCGUAAGCUAGUAAGAUCCCUUGAAGAACACAAGGUUGAUAGGUCGGGGGUGUAAGCAUGGUAACAUGUUCAGCUGACCGAUACUAAUAGAUCGAGGGCUUGACCAA